UAAGUGCUAUGAACAAAAUAAAGCAGAGUCAACAGCGAGAGAACAAAGUGCGAUGCAUGUGCUGGGGAGAAGGCAUAGGAAACCUGAACAGUGCAGGCACCUGAAUCAGGAGAAGAAUGCAGGGAAGCUUCAUGGGCAGAAGGUCAACAGGUAUCUCGAAAAGCCUUCCCAAAGUACCUCACUCCAGAGGAGACACAGCACAGUGAGCUGGGGUAUGCGAUGUUGGGAAUGACUUGGGAGACCUUCAACUUUAAAUAGAGGUCCGCAUGAACAGUUGGACGCUUUCUCAGUUCAUCAUUUGUGAAUUGUUUCACCAUCCCUGUCAACAGUUAUUCCUCUAAGGAGCAAUCAUCCGCAUCUUGCAAUCAUCUAGGACUACAAAGUCAUCCUGCGACUAGCAGUUAGAUUGAUGCUGCUUACUUGAGCCUCAAAACGACAUUAUGUUGUGAUAUAACCCUCAGUUACCAGACGGAAAUAGGGUCCAAUAGUAAUUGGGAAGCUCCAAAUGUUUGGCAUAGUUGUAUUUUCUGGUUUAAGCACUUGUCUUAUGCUUUUCCCUGUAUUUUUUGAAUAUUAAUUGUUAUCAUGGGGCAUAAAAGAUAUACAUCUUAAUGAGCAAAACUAAAGAGGCAUUCUAAUGUUCUUGAACUGACAAGAUAGACACUGAGAUACGCCCUACACAGAUGACUUUUAAAAAAAAAAUGGGAAUAUAAUAGCCUCUGGAGAUACUGGUCAGGACAAAUAGAUGUUUCUUCAGGUCUACUUAGACACUAGAGAUUUAUGAUAUGAAUCUAUUAGAAUAUAUUUCAUCUGCUCCUUAAAUCUGGAACAAAGAAGAGCCCUUGAUUUGAAGAGAAAAGUUUUAAACAGGCACAUCGGUGUGAAAAGGAUGAUUUGAACAUUUUGCUGACACUCAUGAAAUUUUUGUCGGGAAAGGAACGUUCCUCUUGCUUCUGACUUGAUAGCCAGGACCAAUCAUUUUGACCAAGUGACAGGAUAAUAAUGUGGCAAUUAUACUUUGAAGCUGAAAUUUAAUUGCAAAGCACUGUCAGCCUGUUUCACUGUCUAUGUAUGUGUGUUUUUUUAAUUAAUUUUAAAUCUUUAAUUUCUACAAAAUAAAUGGAUAUGUAUUGAUGGCACAAUAAUAUUAUUUUGCUAGGUGUUUUUUUCUGAACAUACCACAGUAAUAGAGCUCAGAGAUUUUUUCAAAAGAAAAACUAGAUACCAUUUUUGCUUUUGGAAAUCUUGGAAUAAUCAUAUAUUAUUUGAUGCAUAAAAAUGUAUGUGACACAUUUGUAAAUUAUAAAGCAUAAU